CGGCGUGGAUUCAGAACUCUUCAGCUGGGGAAUGGUAUUGAUGAAGAGAAAGAAGAUGAGGACUGAAUAAACUGCUGUUAGAAGGACUGGUGGUAGUGUUGUUCUUGCUGGUCGAGAGCGGACUCGAAAAUUGGUGGCCCGUAUGGGGAACCAACUACCCCAUUGAGUUCAGAACUUUCAGCAGUCAGUGGUUGCUGGCAGGGUAAGUUCACGGAAAUCCAGCAUGGGAUAGGGAUAUGCUGCUUGGUCAAGGUCGAUUUGCACAACAACAAACAGGAUAUUCACUGCAGGUGUUUGAGCAGGACCAGACGGAACCUCUUUAGGUGCUGGAGAGAUUGGUGAGACGUUGCAAGAAUGAGGCUCCUGAUCCAGUUGCCCC
rnacentral:lncRNA from 1 species